CAGCCGCCACGGUAAUACGUAGGGUGCAAGCGUUAAUCGGAAUUACUGGGCGCAAAGCGUGCGCAGGCGGUUCGUUAAGACAGAUGUGAAAUCCCCGGGCUUAACCUGGGAACUGCAUUUGUGACUGGCGGGCUAGAGUAUGGCAGAGGGGGGUAGAAUUCCACGUGUAGCAGUGAAAUGCGUAGAGAUGUGGAGGAAUACCGAUGGCGAAGGCAGCCCCCUGGGCCAAUACUGACGCCCAUGCACGAAAGCGUGGGGAGCAAACAGGAUUAGAUACCCGCGUAGUCCCUGUCUCUUAUAC
rnacentral:rRNA from 1 species